rnacentral:tRNA from 1 species
GUCGGGAUAGCUCAGCAGGUAGAGCAUAGGACUGAAAAUCCUAGUGCCAUCAGUUCAAAUCUGAUUCCUGGCA